AUCGCUUCUCGGCCUUUUGGCUAAGAUCAAGUGUAGUAUCUGUUCUUAUCAGUUUAAAAAUAGUGGCUGUAGGAGGCAGGGAUUGGGAUAUUGAUUUUAAAGGAGCAUAAAAGCGAUGGAUAUGUUCUGCAUCUUGAUCUGAAUUAUGAUUACCCCAGUAUAUGUUUGUCAAAAUUCAUUAAGAUGUACACUUACA